CGCAGAAUCCUAAGGGGAGGGAGAAGUAGGCUGCAGUCUGCUGAAGCUUGGACCCCCAGAACCUGUUGCCAUGGUCACAGGGGACUUUUGAUGUGAAGCGCGGCGACCCCCCCCUUGCUUGCCUUCAGGAUGACGUCACGGACGUCCGUUUCCCUGACAGGCCACCUGUGGGUUGCUCCCGGCUUUAAAGCAGCUGUUGUCCCCUGGCCCCCGCAGCCGUGUCCACCGCGUCGACACUGGAGCGGACCUUGUCGGAACUACAGACCUGUCUCCCACUCUGGCGGCUGCGGACCGGACAGACAGCCAGGGAGGAGGCAAGUAUUCCCCAAAGAGGCUUCCUCCCCUCCUCAUCCUCCUCCCCGCGCCCUUGCUCUGCAGCUUGAGCGGCAGGGUAGGAGGGGACUUUUUUCCAGAAAGAAGUGGACAGCAAGCAAUCAAUUUUCCUCUCCGGCCAUGGUGACCAAGUCCCUGCCCGGGCCCUUUCCAGGUUCAACAGACCUGUUGCACCCAGAGAAGAGCCCCAAACCGAUCGGCGCGCCAAGAGCCCCCGAGACUCUGCUUGCCAAUAUCCCGAGAGCCCAGCACCGACGGGGAAAUGUGGGGAAGCCCCCAGACGCAAUUGAGGUAAUCAUCUCAGUGUUCAGGGCCCCUCUUCCUACCCACUGAGAUAGCGGCAAAUAACUCACUAACCCGGAGGGCAAUGGAGAGGCGGAAGCCCUGUCUACUGAAAACGAACAUCUAGCGCAGGUGCGUGCUAGUCUCGCCUUUCCAUCCGCCGGGUCCUUGCCUAGCGGUCAGAAUCCCGCGGUCAGGUCUCUGGAGCCCCUCCCCGGCAAAUCCGAGCUUCUAGCUUCAGCACCAGAAGCUGGACAGCGCCCUGCCCGCUGAGCGCGGGACGAUCCCUGGGACGCCGCGCAGAGGAGUGCCUGAGCUUUCCUUCUGGCCUGAAUUUUCAGUGAGAAGUAGAAAAGCUGAAUGGAUGGAGAUGGUGACCCUCUAAGUCAGAGUGAGGGCAGACCUAUUGCUACCAAAGAAGGCUUGUGGCAGGUUGAUGAUGCGGCCCCUGGAGUUGAAAGUUAUCUCAGCCCCUCAUGGCGUUGGUGUUGGGCAGGACAAACUCUCCUAUAAGCCUGGCAGCCUGCAGGAUGCCUUCACAACUGAGGAUCAAAUGUGUGACCCUUGUACUCAGCUGCAUCCCUAGCCCUCUUUUUAUUUUGAAACAAGGUCUUGCUAAGUCACUAAGUUGCCCAGGCUUAGCCUUCGAGAGUGACGACAUUACAGGUGGGCACCACCCCUACACGACCACCUCCAGCUCUUCCUGUUUCCCACCCUCCUUCAAUGUACAGUUCUUUGUGAUUCAUGAAGAAAAGGUAGAAAGGUGAGCUUCCCAUUCACUGCCCUGCAAACAUGAGCUUUCUCCAUUAUUUUCAUUAUAAAAAAAUAGAAUGCUUCAGAAAAAAAAGAGGAAAGUAAGAAAAUCAUUGCUCCCCCAUCUUGAGCAGAGCUGGGAGCUCUGAGGUGGCAGUGGCGCAGCUGGGUAAUGGGAGAGAAAGUGGGGGCUUGCGGUCGGGCAGCAGGUGUGACCGAGGCCGAGAGCAGCCAGCCCCAUCUGGAAGACUAGUGAUUUUGUUGUUGUCUCGCUGUGCCCAACAACAAGUCCCAGUCUACCGCAUGGUGCUAGCGCCUCCUCAGCGGUGUAGGAUGGGCAGGGCCUCUCUGGGCUUCUCCCCUGUGCCUUCUGUAGUCCCUAGGGAGCACUCAGACCCACUUCUCAGAACCAAGGACGAGGACAAGCACCAGGACACACUCCAGGGUGACAGGAAGAGGUGGGGCCCCUGUUCCCGGGAGCCUGGAGCUCCUGCUGCACCCCAACUCAGGGCAGGAGAGAGUCCCCCUGAGGGACUCACUCAUCCACCCAAUGCCAUGCUGGGCCCCCACCUUGGGAGGCUCCAUGCAGCCAAACUUGGGGCUCCCCAGCCAGGUGCACGGUGGCUCCAGAGAGACACAGUGUGGGUGGCACCAGGGGAUAUGAGCUCAGGACACGCGACCCAGCAGGAAGGUGGACAGCAGCUUUCCCCAUGCUCCCCUGAGCCAGAGGGAGUGGGAGACUGGGAGAGGAACUUCUUGACCCUGGAAUCUGCCUCACCCAGAGAGAAAGCGGGGUGGGCAAGCCCUGUCCUCUGACCAGCCUUGGGUGCCACCCCCUCUGGUAGCAGGAGUGACCAAAAUCCAUUUGCCAGCCUUUCUUGGUGAUGCUUCUGCCUGGGGGCACCUUGUCCUAAGGUAGACACCAAGUCCGGAUCUUGAGACCCUUGGUGGAGGGCAAUUUGUCAAGCAGCAAACUCAAACGCCCCUCAAUAUUCCUCUCCAAGUCUAUCCCCAACCUUCCCUCUGCCCACACAGCUGAGAACACUACAGCGUCUCACAAGCUUAAAUUGGGCUGGGAGUUGUACACUUUUGGGGAAUGCUAAAAAUGCAACCAUUAGCCGAGCUCACCUGGCCUUACUGCUUGCCAGCUGUGUUACCUUUAGAAAGGCACUUAACCUCUCUGAACCUAGGAAGCCCUUCAUUUUACCCAGAGGCUCCUGCUGUUGCUCCCUCUGCCUUUCCGUCCCCUCCUCUAAAUUCUCUCCAUCCCCAUUUCAGAUCUACAUCUCCCUUUACUUCUAACCAUAGCAAAGCCAGUGGGCAGCCAGUUCUAUUAGAAAUCUCAUUCACACUUGAGAAGUCUGCAAAUUGGCAUCGCUCAGCAGGUGUCUGCUCCUCACGGCCGGAUGUCAGGAUGAGCAGAGCAGGGGGACAGCGGACUCAAGAGUCAGUCUCUCCUGGCAGCAUCUGGGGCUGGAGCCAGGUAAACGGGCAGAAAGCCUACUUCCGGAAACAAGCAUCUGGGGAGUGGGGUCCGCUCCUGGUUGGAGAGGUGGAUGCAGGGGCCCCUGUUGGUGCGCAGAGGAGGGAGUCCUGGCUCUGAAGUCAAACACGCACGUGUCCAUCUUGGCUGCACCCCUGCACAGGUGUGUGACUUUAAGCCAGUCACUUAACGUCUUUGAGCCUUGGAUCCUUGAACUGCAGGAUGGAAUUAGUCACCUCCACCGUGGCAGGUUGUUGGGACAAGUCGGUCGUGGAUGCAGAGCUGCACAGGCACAGACUCCCCCUCCCCCACUGUCCCCUUCCCGGAAGUCAGGGCGCCCGGGAACCUCGAACCACGGUGGAGUUGUAGCCACGCCUAAGGGGUGACCCUUCCCCCUCCCCAGGUCACUAUGCCCUGCAAUUCGCGGAAGAAUGAACGCACCCCAACCCUCCCCACCGCAAAACCACAGAAAUCAAGGACUAGAAUUUGUGGCUUGCCUCUAAGUCACUCAGCAAGAUUCACAAUUUAGUGCUUCGUGAGGUGAUCUUCUAGGUAGCCCAAAAAGGGCCUCGGGUUCCUCACCCUCACCCAUCACCCGACUUUCGCGGUCCUGGUCCAGCGCUCACAUCGCAACUGCAAGUUUCCCUGGAUGUGCGGGGAUGCGGCGCCCUCUGCUGGGCCUUCGAUGCAACUGCUCGUUAGGCGAGCAAGGGUGGAGAGUAAAUUUCCCUGGAUCAAAUCCUUCCGGUCUUUCAUUAAAAUACUGUGCGAAAUUAACCUGGAUCUAUGAGUCCUGGAAAUUCUUAGAAGCUAGGGGCACUAUACAAGUGCCACAAUCGUCUUGGUGACAGGCCAUGUCCUGGUAGGUCCAAAGUCCAGCCACAGUGGGGUCAUGAGUGCCAGUAGAGCCAGCUGUGGUGGCAUGGGCCUGUAAUCCCAGCACUCCGGGAAGCUGAGGCAAAAGGGUUGCAAGUCUGAGCUCAGCCUGGGCAGUUUAGCGAUUUAAUGAGACCUUGUCUCAACAUUAAAAAAAAAUUUUGUUUAAAUACCUCAGUUUGAAAGACCUGGGUUCAAUUCCCAGUACCCGCCCCCACCCCACACACAAGGGAAGCUGCUUGACUUACAGUUAGCCCCCAGAGUUUUGUCAGCUUCGUUCCCUCUAACUCAAGGGGUCUUAAACUCAGCCCUGCACCAGGAUCAGCUGCUAACCAGUCAGCUCGGUAGAAUACAGAUCACUGGGCCCCCACCUGGCUAUCUCACUCCAGGUCCAACAAAUUCCCAGCCAAGCUCUAGGCUGCUGCUCUGGGUCCACACUGAGAGAACCACUGCUCUGAAAAUUGGUCAGAUCAAUACACCCUUUCAGGUCUACGACUGGCUCAGAUCCAUGAGGAUCCCCACAGCCCACCCGAAGCCCUCAAAGUGGUGCCCACAGCAGGCAUAAUAGUGCCUGGAUGGUCCAUAAGGAUUCGUGCUCGAAAAGCAGAUCGUGUCUCCAGAUGUCUCAUGUGCUCCGGGAUUGAAACUGUGGGGUCCCUGGGGGAAGGGUUUGACCAUAUGCUUUCCUCACCAGGUUCCACCCCAAAGGGUUCUAUUACAGAGAAGCCCUGGCCUUUGAAAGAGGAGCUAUUUUCACUCUAAGAGCUGGUAAGUAGCUGGGCAUGGUGGCACAUAUCAUAAUCGCCGCAAUCUGAAGGCUGAGGUAGGAAAAUCAAAAGUUCUAUUCCACUCUGGGUAACUUAGUGAGUUAGAGAGACUUUGUCUCAAAAUUUAAAGUUUUAAAAAUGGGUUGGGGGCCAAGAAUUUAGCUCAGUGGUGCCACCACCCGCCUCGCAAGCGCAAGGUCCCAAAUUCAAUCCCAGUACCAAAAAAAUAAAAAGUAAAAAAAAUAGAAAUGGGUUGGGGACAUUGCUCAGAACAAAGGCUCUGCAUGCAUUCCCCAAUACCGCAGAAAUAAAGAGUUGGUAGGUAGGCUGAGUAGCUUCCUAAAGAAGCAGGAUUAGGGGUACUGCUGUCCCCAGUGACAUGCAGUAUGGAGGCCAUCAUCACUGGGGUCUCAAACUGUUUUGCUUAAUAAUGUUCUUACCAAGAAUCUAAGUAGUGGGGCAGGGAUUUAGCUCAAUGGUGCCUUGCCUGCCUCACAAGCACAAGGUCCCCAAUUCGAUCCCCCAUACUAAAAAAAAAAGAAUCUAAGUAGUUACAAAGGUUGUAUUGAUAUCUUUAUAAAAUAUGCCAAAUAACUGCAAUGAAAUCUGAAUAGCAGAGUGAUUUGAUAUUAAUCAUAUCUUUUUUUUUUUUUUGGUACCGGGAUCAAACUUGGGACCUUGAGCUUGUGAGGCAGGCAGUGGAACCACUGAGCUAAAUCCACGGCCCCAGUCAUAUCCAUUUUUAAGGUACAUGGAAAAAAAAUUCUCCUUAUUGACAGUGUUGAGUUUUACCCUCAAACUGUGCUCUAACAAAACAGCAAUGGGUUUGGAAACCCUUCCCUCCCAAUGCUUUUGUGUUCUAGAAACAACUUACUACCAAGAAGCACCCUCCCCCACCCAGCUGAGAUAAAACUCCUGGAUUCCCCUCUGGGACUCCCCGUGUGACAUCUAGUCAAAGCCAGACACAGCCACUUCCCGUUUCCAUCUUUGCUCCAUGGGACCCACUAAACUGCUUGGCCCACUGAUCAAGCAGAAGAAAAUGCUCGCUCUCAUCUACUACCCAUCUCUUCUGUUCCUUCCACUUCCCACACCCACUUUUUACCAGACUCAUCCCCUAAAAAAGCAGAUGUGUGCCCCGGCAGGGGUACACAUCUGUAAUACUAGCAUUCUGAGAGGAGGAGGCUGGAGUACCACACAAGUUUGAGGUCAGCCUGAGGUGGAAUAAAAGAAAUAAAAGAGAAAGAGGAAAUCAUAACUAAACAUUGUACUUUUAAGAAGAUUCCAGCUUCUAGGACCCAGCCCAUAUUACCGAGGGUGAUCCAUAUCAGUAUUUCCUUGGUUAAAUUUAGGCUCUGGUCCUGGCAGAUCUAGCACACCCCAAAUUCCUCAGGAAUACUGAAAGUCUAUAAAUUGGAUUAAUUGAGAAAAUAAAGAGCAGAAACUUGACCCCAAAAUAAAGGAGCCGGUGGAGAAAAUUCAAAAGUGUUUAAAUUUUCUAUUAAAAAAAAACACCUGCACAUGCCUAUAGAAUGGGCUAGUACUUUUGGGGGCACCGUUUCCCAGGGUUUCCAUCCCUGCAAGAGAAGCAUAAAUGUUCCCUGUUCCAGGAAAUAACACACCUCAUUUCUCUGAGCACCUGCACUUCAUUCUUUCUUUCUUUGUGUGUGUGUGUGUGUGUGUGUGUGUGUGUGUGUGCCGGGGAUCAAACUUAGGACCUCGUGCUUGCCAGGCUCCCAUUUGCCAGGCAGGCACUGUGCCACUGAGCUAAAUCCCUGGUCCUGCACUCCAUUUUUGUGUGUCCUAAAAUCUCUGCCUAAUAAACUCUUAACUUGCCUCUUACAGAAGAGUCUUGAAAAUUCUUUUUCACAAUGCGAGUCAUCGAACCUGCACUUCUUCUACAAAAGAUUGGGUCAAGUUCCUUAUUUCAGUUUCAGGCUCUCAGACCCAGCCCAGUGACAAGCCUGGACAACUUAGUGACUUAGUGAGACCCUGCUGGGCAUUUAAUGGGUUCAACCCCAUUUUCUCUCCCCUCAAAUCAGCUCUUUGUGUAACCCUUGAGAUAUUGUAGAUUUUAUGGAUUGUUCUUCCUAUUGUGUACUCUUAGCAUCCUGCAUCACACCCUCAAAAUAACCCUUUUAAAUAAAGUCUCCCUUUACUCAAUCCGGACUAUUUUUUUACAUUCUAUGCAGCAUUCUUUACAUUUGGCUCCUGCUACAGCGUUUUAUGCAAGCUUAUUGUAUAGAACACCCUUGUGCUUUCCUGUCCCAAGAAUAUGUUGAUAAAUUUGAACUCGCUAAUUCUGAAAAUUUUUCUGUGAUCAUAAAGCUGUAAGUGUUCAUUUGUUAUGCAAUAUCAGUACCUCACUUAAAAUAAAUACACAGAAUUUUCAUUAAAAUAAAUACACAGCAUUCAUAAGAAUCUUUCAGAUUUCCGCAACAACCUCAAAUUCUUUGUCACAGGAAUGCCUCCGAAACGCUGCCACUUAUAAAAGAAAUGUACGUCUAUCUACAUGAAGAAGCAGCGGAAGCAGACAGAAGCGUUUGUAUUUUAAAUCCCCCCCUUUCGGCUCAGGGGAAAUCUUUCUACAGGAAGAUCCUUGCAGGAUCUAAAACCUGCAAGGACUCAUUUACACAGGUGGCUGUGGCCCGAAAGACUUCAUCUGCAUAAUAAGGCAAUCCUGGCUUGUGGUGCCGCAGCCAGUCCCCUUAGAGCUCCGAGUAGAGCUCAGACAUUUUACCCCUCUUGGGGUUGGAUUCCUGUCCCUUAGACAGGUGAUACAACGUGUAUGUUCUUGUUCCUCUUAUUUAUUGCAUAGAACGGAUCAAAUAAAAUUAUUGAGCCUUCAGAGGGAAAACAGCAAAUCCAAGCUUCCCUACAUGAGUAAAAGAAUUUUUAAAAUAAAGCAGAAACUGCUGUUUUCUUGUACUGGGAAUUGAACCCAGGGCCUUCGCCCUGAGCGACAUCCCCAGUCCCCCCACCCCAAAAAGGCUUUAAAAAAAGCCAAGUUC
ensembl:lncRNA